GAGUUUGAUCAUGGCUCAGGACGAACGCUGGCGGCGUGCUUAACACAUGCAAGUCGAACGGAAAGGCCCUCACCUUGGUGGGGGUGCUCGAGUGGCGAACGGGUGAGUAACACGUGGGUGAUCUGCCCUGUACUUCGGGAUAAGCUUGGGAAACUGGGUCUAAUACCGGAUAGGACCAUGGUUUAGUGUCUCAUGGUGGAAAGAUUAUUGUUUUGGUGCAGGAUGAGCUCGCGGCCUAUCAGCUUGUUGGUGGGGUAAUGGCCUACCAAGGCGUCGACGGGUAGCCGGCCUGAGAGGGUGAUCGGCCACAAGGGGACUGAGACACGGCCCUUACUCCUACGGGAGGCAGCAGUGGGGAAUAUUGGACAAUGGACCAAGAGUCUGAUCCAGCAAUUCUGUGUGCACGAUGAAGUUUUUCGGAAUGUAAAGUGCUUUCAGUUGGGAAGAAAGAAAUGACGGUACCAACAGAAGAAGUGACGGCUAAAUACGUGCCAGCAGCCGCGGUAAUACGUAUGUCACGAGCGUUAUCCGGAUUUAUUGGGCGUAAAGCGCGUCUAGGUGGUUAUAUAAGUCUGAUGUGAAAAUGCAGGGCUCAACUCUGUAUUGCGUUGGAAACUGUAUAACUAGAGUACUGGAGAGGUAAGCGGAACUACAAGUGUAGAGGUGAAAUUCGUAGAUAUUUGUAGGAAUGCCGAUGGGGAAGCCAGCUUACUGGACAGAUACUGACGCUGAAGCGCGAAAGCGUGGGUAGCAAACAGGAUUAGAUACCCUGGUAGUCCACGCCGUAAACGAUGAUUACUAGGUGUUGGGGGUCGAACCUCAGCGCCCAAGCAAACGCGAUAAGUAAUCCGCCUGGGGAGUACGUACGCAAGUAUGAAAACUCAAAGGAAUUGACGGGGACCCGCACAAGCGGUGGAGCAUGUGGUUUAAUUCGACGCAACGCGAGGAACCUUACCAGCGCUUGACAUCUUAGGAAUGAGACAGAGAUGUUUCAGUGUCCCUUCGGGGAAAUCUAAAGACAGGUGGUGCAUGGCUGUCGUCAGCUCGUGUCGUGAGAUGUUGGGUUAAGUCCCGCAACGAGCGCAACCCCUUUCGUAUGUUACCAUCAUUAAGUUGGGGACUCAUGCGAUACUGCCUGCGAUGAGUAGGAGGAAGGUGGGGAUGACGUCAAGUCAUCAUGCCCCUUAUACGCUGGGCUACGCACGUGCUACGAAUGGGUAGAACAGAGAGUUGCAAAAGCUGUGAAAGUGGAGCUAAUCUCAGAAAAACUAUUUCUUAGUUUCGGAUUGUACUCUGCGAACUCGAGUACGUGAAAGUUGGAAAUCGCUAGUAAUCGCGAAUUCGGCAAUGUCGCGGUAAAUACGUUUCUCGGGUUCUUGCAACACCCGCCCGUCA
rnacentral:rRNA from 1 species